rnacentral:rRNA from 1 species
GAUGAACGCUAGCGGCAGGCCUAAUACAUGCAAGUCGGACGGUAAAUGGCCCUUCGGGGCUAUGAGAGUGGCGCACGGGUGCGUAACGCGUAUGCAACCUACCCAAUGCUGGAGGAUAGCCCGGAGAAAUUCGGAUUAAGCCUUCAUGAGGAGCGGAGAGGACAUCCUUUCUGUUUCAAAUAUUUAUAGGCGUUGGAUGGGCAUGCGUGCUAUUAGAUAGUUGGCGGGGUAACGGCCCACCAAGUCGACGAUCAGUAGCCGGUCUGAGAGGAUGAACGGCCACAUUGGGACUGAGAUACGGCCCAGACUCCUACGGGAGGCAGCAGUGGGGAAUAUUGGGCAAUGGGGGAAACCCUGACCCAGCAACGCCGCGUGAAGGAAGAAGGCCUUCGGGUU